GUCUUAUUGAAUAAUAAUUUUAAGUCAAUUCUGCCCAAUGAUUUUAAAUAAUUAAAUGGCUGCGGUAUAAUUGACUGUACAAAGGUAGCAUAAUCAAUUGUUUUUUAAUUAAAAACUGGAAUGAAAGAGUUAAUGAGAUAUACACUGUCUCAUAUAUAUUAAAUUAAUUUAAAUUUUUAGUUAAAAUGCUAAAAUUAAUUUAUGGGACGAUAAGACCCUAUAGAAUUUUAUAUUAAUAUUUUAAUUAUAAUUUUAUUAUUGAAUAUUAAUAUUUUGUUGGGAGGAUAGGUAAAUUUAUUAAACUUUAUUUUAAAUAUUAACUUUAAUUAAAGAAUAUAUUUUGAUCUUUUAGUAAAAAUGAAAAGAGUAAAUUACCUUAGGGAUAACAGCGUAAUAUCUUUUUAAAGAUCUUAUUGAAAAAGAUGAUUGCGACCUCGAUGUUGAAUUAAGAUAAAUUUUAAAUGAAGAAAUUUAAUAAUUAAGUCUGUUCGACUUUUAAAAUCUUACAUGAUUUGAGUUCAAAUCGACGUGAGU
rnacentral:rRNA from 1 species